rnacentral:misc_RNA from 1 species
GUGAAGAACGCAGUGAAAUGCGAUAAGUAAUGUGAAUUGCAGAAUUCAGUGAAUCAUCGAAUCUUUGAACGCAUCUUGCGCUCCUUGGUAUUCUGAGGAGCAUGCCUGUUUGAGUGUCAUUAAAUUCUCAACCGCACUGACUUUGAAUUGGUGUGGCUUGGAUUUGGGGGGAAAAUUGUUGUGGGCUUUUUUGUAUAGUCUGCUCCCCUGAAAUUGAUUAGCGGUACCUUUGUGGAACUGUCUACAGGUGUGAUAAUUAUCUACAUCCUAGACAUCUGCUGGAAUGCUGCUUUCUAAACCUUACUUGUAUUGACAAUCUUGACCUCAAAUCAGGUAGGACUACCCGCUGAACUUAAGCAUAUCAAUAAGCGGAGGA